rnacentral:tRNA from 1 species
GGUUCAUUGAGGUAAUGGCAACCUACCCGGCUGUCUCUCGGGAGCCACGAGUUCGAUUCUCGUAUGAACCG